GGAUUAGAUACCCUGGUAGUCCACGCCGUAAACGAUGGAUACUCGAUGUAGGGAGGAAUCGACCCCUCUCUGUGUCUAAGCUAACGCGUUAAGUAUCCCGCCUGGGGAGUACGGUCGCAAGAUUAAAACUCAAAGGAAUAGACGGGGACCCACACAAGCGGUGGAGCAUGUGGUUUAAUUCGACGAUAAACGGGGAACCUUACCAAGGCUUGACAUCUCCGGGAACUCCGAGGAAACUUGGAGGUGCCGUAAGGAACCGGAUGACAGGUGCUGCAUGGUCGUCGUCAGCUCGUGCCUUGAGGUGUUCGGUUAAGUCCGUAAACGAGCGCAACCCAUGUCUUAUGUUGCAUAUUUCAUAAGAGACUGCCGGCUCCAAGUCAGAGGAAGGUAUGGAUGACGUCAGAUCAGCAUGGCCCUUAUGCCUUGGGCCACACACGUGCUACAAUGGCCGAUACAAUGAGUAGCCAACCCGCAAGGGGGAGCCAAUCUCACCAAAGUCGGUCUAAGUUCGGAUUGGGGGCUGAAAUUCGACCCCAUGAAGUUGGAAUCGCUAGUAACCGCAAAUCAGACAUGUUGCGGUGAAUAUGUUCCUGGGUCUUGUACUCACCGCCCGUCACAUCAUGAAAGGUGGGGGUGCCCGAAGUCGCCUUAUCCUCUCGGGGAGGUGCCUAAGGUAAACCACUGAUUGGGAUGAAGU
rnacentral:rRNA from 1 species